rnacentral:rRNA from 1 species
AUUGAACGCUGGCGGCACGCCUAACACAUGCAAGUCGAGCGGCAGCAUGCUUAGUAGCAAUACUAAGUGAUGGCGAGCGGCGGACGGGUGAGGAACACGUAGGAACCUGCCCAAGAGAGGGGGAUAACUAAGGGAAACUUUAGCUAAUACCGCAUAAUCUCUGAGGAGAAAAGCUGCCCGUAAGGGUAGCGCUUUUGGAGGGGCCUGCGUCCGAUUAGCUAGUUGGUGAGGUAAAAGCUCACCAAGGCGAUGAUCGGUAACUGGUCUGAGAGGACGACCAGUCACACUGGGACUGAGACACGGCCCAGACUCCUACGGGAGGCAGCAGUGGGGAAUCUUGGACAAUGGGGGCAACCCUGAUCCAGCGAUGCCGCGUGGGUGAAGAAGGCCUUCGGGUUGUAAAGCCCUUUAGGCUGGGAAGAAGUGUGCGGGAUGAAUAAUCCUGUACAUUGACGGUACCAGCAGAAUAAGCACCGGCAAACCCUGUGCCAGCCGCCGCAGUAA